AUUCCAGUUUUCCAGUGCUAGCUGUAGCUGCUACCACGGAAGCACCAAAAACAUGUUUCGCAACCUGUCUUUGCCAAAUAUACGAUGGGUUUAGCUCUGAUCCAGAAACAUCAAUGGGACUAGUGCAACAUGAAGGAUAUUGUUUUUGGACUGGUAAAGACAAAAGGAGUUGAGUAGUUGUUGUGGCACCAGUGUAUAACAACUUCAAAUGGCAUCUCAAAAUGAAGGAACUAAGCAGUAAGUUUAUAUCAUACUUGAUAUAUAUUAUAAUUUGAUCUUCU